rnacentral:rRNA from 1 species
CCUACGGGAGGCAGCAGUGGGGAAUAUUGGGCAAUGGAGGCAACUCUGACCCAGCAACGCCGCGUGAAUGAUGAAGGUCUUCGGAUUGUAAACCUCUUUUGCCGGGGAGCAACGGGGUCCUUGCGAGGGCCCGAUGAGAGUACCCGGAGAAAAAGCAUCGGCUAACUCCGUGCCAGCAGCCGCGGUAAUACGGAGGAUGCGAGCGUUAUCCGGAUUUAUUGGGUUUAAAGGGUGCGUAGGCGGACUGUUAAGUCAGCGGUAAAAGCCCGGGGCUCAACCCCGGCGAGCCGUUGAAACUGGCUGUCUUGAGAUGUCGAGAGGUAUGCGGAAUGCGCAGUGUAGCGGUGAAAUGCUUAGAUAUUGCGCAGAACUCCGAUUGCGAAGGCAGCAUACCGGCGGCGAUCUGACGCUGAGGCACGAAAGCGUGGGUAUCGAACAGGAUUAGAUACCCUUGUAGUC